AUUGAACGCUGGCGGCAUGCCUUACACAUGCAAGUCGAACGGUAACGGGCCUUCGGGUGCCGACGAGUGGCGAACGGGUGAGUAAUACAUCGGAACAUGCCCGAUCGUGGGGGAUAACGAGGCGAAAGCUUUGCUAAUACCGCAUACGAUCUACGGAUGAAAGCAGGGGACCGCAAGGCCUUGCGCGGACGGAGCGGCCGAUGGCAGAUUAGGUAGUUGGUGGGAUAAAAGCUUACCAAGCCGACGAUCUGUAGCUGGUCUGAGAGGAUGAUCAGCCACACUGGGACUGAGACACGGCCCAGACUCCUACGGGAGGCAGCAGUGGGGAAUUUUGGACAAUGGGCGCAAGCCUGAUCCAGCCAUGCCGCGUGCAGGAUGAAGGCCUUCGGGUUGUAAACUGCUUUUGUACGGAACGAAAAGCCUUCUUUUAAUACAGGAGGGUCAUGACGGUACCGUAAGAAUAAGCACCGGCUAACUACGUG
rnacentral:rRNA from 1 species